UGGGCGGAGCUCACAUUCAACGUUUCUUGGGUCUAAAUCUUCCGGGCAGCUGUCUACACUUUGGCUCAGGUACCAUCUGCUGACUUCCCACAUCAGAAGAAUGAUCUUCAACCCAAGACACAGGCAAAGAGAGCAUCUAACUGCUUAAAAUGAGAGCAGGAAUGGCUGUUGGCUUAGAUAGAUGGCACCCCAGAGUCCUGAAAGAACUUGCAGAUGUGAUCACAGGACCAUCUGAACCGGAGAAACCGGGGGGAAUGGAGAGACAGCAAAAGACCGGAGAUGGGAAUCUACUUACCAAGAUGGCAGGAGCAAGUGGUUAUCAGAGCCUGCUCUCUAGAAAUACAAUUAAACAAGCAGCCCCUGUCUCUUUUUCUCCACUUUCAGUCUUGGGGAAGGGAUUGGAAUAUGUGAGCAGGAGAGAAGGGUCAUGUUGGAGCAGCCAGGACUCAGAGCCUUUCCGCAGACUGAGUCUGGAUCCUUUCCUUCAGCCUCCAGGAAUACUCCCGGCUCCACACCCAGAAUGGUAAUCCAGGCAAGGGCUCUGGUGUGUGGCCACACUGCCACCUAUUACCUGCGGGUCCAAAUGCAGUGACUCAACUUCUCUGUGCCUCUCUUUCCACAUGUAUAAAAUGAGGAUAAUGUUGCUAUUGUAAGAAUUGCAUCAAUUAAUAAACAGCACUCAGUGAA
rnacentral:lncRNA from 1 species